GACGAACGCUGGCGGCACGCCUAACACAUGCAAGUCGAACGGAGAACCUUCGGGUUCUUAGCGGCGGACGGGUGAGUAACGCGUGAGUAACCUGCCUUCAGGAGGGGGACAACAUUCCGAAAGGGAUGCUAAUACCGCAUGACAUUGUUUAAUCGCAUGGUUGAACAAUCAAAGAUUUAUCGCCUGAAGAUGGACUCGCGUCUGAUUAGCUAGUUGGUGAGGUAACGGCUCACCAAGGCGACGAUCAGUAGCCGGACUGAGAGGUUGGCCGGCCACAUUGGGACUGAGACACGGCCCAGACUCCUACGGGAGGCAGCAGUGGGGAAUAUUGGGCAAUGGGCGCAAGCCUGACCCAGCAACGCCGCGUGAAGGAAGAAGGCUUUCGGGUUGUAAACUUCUUUGUCAGGGACGAAGUAAAUGACGGUACCUGACGAAUAAGCCACGGCUAACUACGUG
rnacentral:rRNA from 1 species